UCGUAACAAGGUUUCCGUAGGUGAACCUGCGGAAGGAUCAUUACCGAGUGAGGGCCCUCUGGGUCCAACCUCCCACCCGUGUUUUCCGAACCCUGUUGCUUCGGCGGGCCCGCCUCACGGCCGCCGGGGGGCUUCCGCCCCCGGGCCCGCGCCCGCCGAAGACACCUGUGAACGCUGUCUGAAGUUGCAGUCUGAGAAACUAGCUAAAUUAGUUAAAACUUUCAACAACGGAUCUCUUGGUUCCGGCAUCGAUGAAGAACGCAGCGAAAUGCGAUAACUAAUGUGAAUUGCAGAAUUCAGUGAAUCAUCGAGUCUUUGAACGCACAUUGCGCCCUCUGGUAUUCCGGAGGGCAUGCCUGUCCGAGCGUCAUUGCUGCCCUCAAGCACGGCUUGUGUGUUGGGCCCCCGCCCCCCCGCGCUGGGGGGGCGGGCCCGAAAGGCAGCGGCGGCACCGCGUCCGGUCCUCGAGCGUAUGGGGCUUCGUCACCCGCUCUUGUAGGCCCGGCCGGCGCCAGCCGACCCCCCUCAAUCUAUUUUUUCAGGUUGACCUCGGAUCAGGUAGGGAUACCCGCUGAACUUAAGCAUAUCA
rnacentral:misc_RNA from 1 species